AGAGGAAGACAAGUAAAUUUUAUAUUACUAUUUGAAGAACAGAGUUUCUAAUCAUUUUCCUGCUGCAUGGAAACAUUUGCUACUGUUGGACAUAUUACCUCUAAUAGCAGACCCUAUUCUACUGCCUCAGCUCCACUGGAGUCUCACUGAGCCUACUCUGGCUUUGGAGGUGCCAAGUCACCAAGAGAGAUUCUCAGAGGCCCAUUGCAUCUAUUUCUCUCUUGCAUCAACUGGGCAUCAUGAUUAUCAAGUCUGCCGUGAUGUCUAUCUACAUUUGGGCAAGAAUACAAAUGAAGGUUCACCUGAAAGUUAUGAAGGAGGCUAAGAAAUUGUUACAUAAUACGUAAUAUAAUUUUCUACCAUGUAAAAUAUAACUCUAUAAAAACAGAAUUGAAGCACAUGUGGAAUGAUAUGUUUUUUAUGUCACUGAAAGUCCACAAAAUAUCAAAUACAGCUGUAUUUCAAUGAUAUUGUACAUGUCUUGGUGUUCCUUGCUGGAACAGUGAUAUCUGUAUUAUUAGAGAUAAAUAUAAAUUACUUCUAUGGUUUUUAUGGUUUUAGGUCUUAACAUUUAAGUCUUUAUUCCAUCUUGAGUUAAUUUUUGUAGAAGAUGUAAGGAAGGGGUCCGGUUUCAGUUUUCUGCAUAUGGCUAGUCAGUUUUCCCAACACCAUUUAUUAAAUAGGGAAUCCUUUCCCCAUUGCUUGUUUUUGUCAGGUUUGUCAAAGAUCAGAUGGAUGUAGAUGUGUGGCAUUAUUUCUGAGGCCUCUGUUCUGUUCCAUUGGUCUAUAUAUCUGUUUUGGUACCAGUACCAUGCUGUUUUGAUUACUGUGCCUUUUAGUAUAAUUUGAAGUCAGGUAGCAUGAUGCCUCUUUCUACUUAGGAUUGUCUCAGCUAUGUGGGCUCUUUUUUGGUUCUAUAUGAAAUGUAAAGUAGUUUUUUCUAAUUCUGUGAAGAAAGUCAAUGGUAGCUUUAUGGGGAUACCAUUCAGGACAUAGGCAUGGGCAAAGACUUCAUGAGUAAAACACCAAAAGCAAUGGCAACAAAAGUCAAAAUUGAAUUGGAUCUAAUUAAGCUAAAGAGCUUCUGCACAGCAAAAGAAACUAGCAUCAGAGUGAACAGGCAACCUACAGAAUGGGAGAAAAUUUUUGCAAUCUACUCAUCUGACAAAGGGCUAAUAUCCAGAAUCUACAGAGAACUCAAACAAAUUUAUAAGAGAAAAACAAAAAACUCCAUCAAAAAGUGGGCAAAGGAUGUAAGCAGACACUUCUCAAAAGAAGACAUUUAUGCAGCCAACAAACAUAUGUAAAAAAGCUCAUCAUCACUGGUCAUCAGAGAAAUGCAUAUCAAAACCACAAUGAGAUACUAUCUCAUGCCAGUUAGAAUGGCAAUCAUUAAAUAGUCAAGAAAUAACAGAUGCUAGAGAGGAUAUGGAGAAAUAGAAACACUUUUACACUGUUGGUGGGAGUGUAAUUUCAGAAGCAUGUGCUCCUUGUGGAAGACAGUGUGGCGAUUCCUCAAGGAUCUAGAACCAGAAAUACCAUUUGACCCAGCAAUCUCAUUACUGGAUAUAUACCCGAAAUAUUAUAAAUCAUUCUACUAUAAAGACACAUGCACACAUAUGUUUAUUGCAGUACUGUUUACAAUAGCAAAGACUUGGAACCAACCCAAAUGCCCAUCAAUAAUAGACUGGAUAAAGAAAAUGUGGCACAUAUCCACCAUGGAAUACUAUGCAACCAUAAAAAGGGUGAGUUCAUGUCCUUUGCAGGGACAUUGAUGAAGCUGGAAACCAUCACUCUCAGCAAACUGAUACAGAAACAGAAAACCAAACACUGCAUGUUCUUACUCAUAAGUGGGAGUUGAACAAUGAGAACACAUGGACACAUGGAGGGGAACAUCACACACCAGGGCCUGUUGGGGGAUGGAGGGCUUGGGGAGGGAUAGCAUUAGGAUAAAUACCUAAUAUAGAUGAUGGGUUGAUGGGGGCAGCAAACCACCAUGGCACGUGUAUACCUAUGUAACAAACCUGCACAUUCUGCACAUGUAUCCCAGAACUUAAAGUAUACAUAUAAAAAAGAAAUAAACAUAAAUUGCAAAUUAUUAUAUAUAAUAUACAUUUGUAUUUCAGAUAAAUCACAAAAUAAUAAUAUUGUAAUUGCUAAUUUGUGAUCAUUUGUGUUCUGUUGACAAUAAUGCCCAAUUAUAUAUUUGAGUCAUUAUAAUUCUAAGAUAGUCAUUAAGUAAUUUCAAUUUAGAUAUAUUUUGCUCUAUUGAAACAGGAAUAACUGUAAUUAUCAAUAUAAUUUUUCAGACCUUAUAUGAAUUCAGAUAUUAACCAUUGAUAUCAUACUUAAAGUCUGUAAAAAAUCAUAUAUACUGAUGGAUAGAAGCUAUUGAAAUUUUUUAUUAUAUGCAACUUUAUUACUUAUAUUCCAAUUUUUACUAUCUAUUAGCAAUAUAUAAAUCCAUUCAGUACUUCUUAAAUAUUUUUAAUUGUUUUUAAGGUAUAGUAUUAUAAAGAAAUCAGAAAAUAGCUCAAUUUACUAUUUAUAUUUUUUCAAGGAAAAUUUACCUUGAUUGAUAGUAGCCAGGAAAGAAUCUGAAAAUAAUGAUUGGGUUAUUCAUUUGGAUUUUUUGUAUAUAAUUCUUUUUCAGUCAUGCAAGUAAUUUUUGUUUUUCUGUUCUAAUUUUCUUGGAAUAUUGAAAUGUUACUUUAGUUGAAUAUUUCACAUGUACUACCUUUGAUUACCUUUUUUCUUUAAUUUCUUUCUUAAAAUUAAAUAGCCAAAAGUUACAUUUUUAGGUUUUUAAAACUUUUUAUAACAAUUUAUUUUGCAAGAAUUUAUUGUAUUUAUGCUAUCUGAAAAAUUUAUUGAUUUUAUUGUCUUUCCUCUUUAUUAAACCGUGUCUGUUUCCUAUGAGAGCAAUGAAACAACUCAGGAAUCUUUAAUUUGGACAUGAUUGCAACAGACAAGAAAGAAGAUUUCUCGGGGGCCAAAACAGUGUUAGGAGACUUGAUGUUUUGAUUAUGUAUGAUUUCAUGCCAGUUUUGACCAUUAGAUCCUGAGUAAUAUAGGCAUCCAUAUGUUCUCUCAUAUGUUUAUUUAUUUUUUAACCUGCUUUUGAGAUGUAGCACUCUCUAAAGCCAAAGCCUAGAGUAGAGAAGUAUAGGAGCAGUUACAGAUAAUUCUUUUUGCCUUCAUCAUACCCAUCCUAGACUGGCUGCCUGACUUCACUAUCACUUACUGACUUGGACCUGGUAUUUUCUUAGGACUGUUUAUAGCGAUAGCCCCUGUGAUUGAGUUUUGAGAAUCCUGUUGGUUUAUUCCAUUGUCUCAGAUAUUUUACUCUUGUGACUAACUUUGCUGUCUAAAAUAUGUUUGAUGCCCUGACUACACCUGCUGCCAAUUUGUCUCCUCCACCAAAAACUAUCCUAUUCAACUCUUGUUUCCUCCCCUCUCUUUGCUAAGCUACUACAGCUAAAAUUAGCCAUAAUUUCUUUUAAAACACAUAGUUUGCUUAAUGUGGGCUGAAAUAAAAAUUGUGACAAGACAUAAAAUUUAAUAAACUGUGAUAGUACAAUAAUACAUAGGAAAUGUAUUAUUAUUUCACUACCUAUUGAAGGACUAAACUAAUAUUCAGUUUAUUACCCAGAUACUUCCAUGCCUCAUUUCUCAUUUUUCAUUAUGAAACAAAGAUCAAAAUAUAAUCAUUUAAAUAGAGUUGAAAUUCUAUUUCACUUUGGAAAAAAAGUACACACUUUUAAAUGUAGAUCAAAGUGAAUAAAGUCAAUACAAUGAAAGAAUAUAAGCUAAAUACUUUUGAGAACAGAAUUUGCAUUGCCAAAUAUAUAAAAGAAUUUCAGCCUUAAAAAGAAAGGCUGUUAUUGAGUAAAAUGGUCUCUUAUGUGGUUGCAAUGGAAGGAAGUUUUCCAUCUGUGUCUGGAAUUAAUAGCAUCUGAAAAAAGAAAUUGAAUGCACAAUGAUUCUUCUACUUGGCAAUAUGAACAUAGAUAUAUUAGCUGUCUUGAGACAAAAAAACACCCAGAAGCAAAGAAUAUUAAAUGAAACAAUGGUGAGUUAGAUAACUAUUGUGAGCUACAGAGAGAAGAUGGAAAGUUGUAAUGCAUUUAUAUGAAGCCAGGCACCACAACUAGCACUGGAAAGUGCUGUAUGGAAUAAAAUUAAGAAUGCUCUUAGCUAGCUCCCUUGCUAGUGACCUUAAGGAAUUCCUUUAGAAUAGACCAGUUUACAGACUUGAUGGUAUUUGCAAGAGGAAAAUGAAUGUAGGGAAGCACAUAGGGACCCAGAAAAUGGCAAGAAAAAUAAAAUCAUUUGUUGGUAAGCCCUUUGACCAUUGCAUGAAUGUAGAAAUUUUUAAAAAUAAUGUAAAAACAAAACAGAAGAUAGAAUCAUGAUUUUUAGAAGAAAUGAGACUCAAAGAUCAGUUUAUCUAGCCUCUCAAUCAUUAAACAAAGUUCUAGAGUAAUGAGAAUAUAUUUGUUCCAAGGAGAAUAUUGUUAAUUAAAAAAAUUUUAAGACUCAUAUUUUCACAAAUCAAAACACUACUUAAUUUAUACCCUAUAUUUUUAUAAUGACUUUCAAGCUAAAACUGAUGUGAUUUCUAGGGGACUUAAAAAUUUGUUGUAUAUGUGAUGUUGUUAUUAAAAUAGCAAUUGCUUUAGCUGAGUCAGUUUGCCUCUUACCUAGAAUUUUUGCAGGAAAAGCUGAAUUUAAGUAAUUAAGUGUGACAGUUAACUAUUGCACAUAACUUGUUACCAAUAUAUUUUAUAUAUCAAAUCCCUAUUCAGAUCAUGUCAGAGGAAACAUAAUUUAACUGAUAAUAUUUUUUAAGGAUGAGGUAUAAACACCUGCUAAAAAGGAAGCAGAAAAUAACAAUUUUUAGUGAGUAUAGAAGUGUAAUAAUUUCUAGGGCAUUUACUCUUUAAAAAUAUUUAUGGGCCAGGAGCGGUGGUGGCUCACGCCUGUAAUCCCAGCACUUUGGGAGGCCGAGGCAGGCGGAUAACGAGGUCAGGAAUUCGAGACCAUCCUGACUAACAUGGUGAAAUCCUGUCUCUACUAAAAAUACAAAAAAUUAGCUGGGCAUGGUGGCGGGCACCUGUAGUCCCAGCUACUCGGGAGGCUGAGGCAGGAGAAUGGCGUGAACCCAGGAGGCGGAGCUUGCAGUGAGCCGAGAUCCCGCCACUGCACCUCAGACUGGGCAACAGAGCGAGACUCUGUCUCAAAAAAAAAAAAUAUAUAUAUAUAUAUAUAUUUUUUAUAUAUAUAAAUUCAUAUAUAUAUGAAUUUGAUACUUAACCUGUAUACUAAACUCUAUAAAAAAUAUCAGUAUUUUUAAAUUUUUUACUUGUAAUUUAAAAAACUUGAUGUGAAGAAUAAAGUGUGCCUAUAAUGACAAAGUACUUUUUAAUGCAUUUAUGUAGUUACUUCAUUUAAACUUGCUGAUAUGUUUUGGAUGUUUGUCUCUUCAAAGUUUCAUAUGGAAAUGUGAUUCCCAAUUUUAGAGGUGGGGCUUGGUGGGAAGUGAUUGGAUCAUGGGGGUGGAUCCCUCAUGAAUGGUUUAGCACCAUUCCCUUGGUGAUAAAUGAGUUUCUCAAACAAUUAGUUCAUGUGAGGUCUGCUUGUUUAAAAGAAUCUAGGACCCCCUGCCCUUCUCUCUCUCUCUCUGGCUCCCACUCUCUCCAUGUGAUGUGCUUGCUCCCCCUUUACCUUUCACCAUGACUGUAAACUUCCUGAGGUCCUAGCCAGAAGCAGAUGCUGGCAACAUGUUUCCUGUACAGCCUACAGAACUGUGAACUAAUUAAUCUUCUUUUCUCUAUAAAUUACCCAGUCUCAGGUAUUUAUUCAUAGAGAUGCAAAAACAGAAUGACACACUUGCCUAGUAAGAAAUGUGUUGGUAUUAAAUGCGUUGUUUUUAUUAAAAAUUGUAAUAACACUUUUAAUUCAUUUGCUCAUUCAUGGAUGCAACAUUUCAGUAGAUAUUUUUUACUUAGAGGACUGUGAGUGUUAGAAAUUUUUAUUAUUUUACAUGAAAGAUAAGCUAAUACAAUUGUGUCAGUAAGUCUAGACAUUUUCCAAUGGUAAUAAAUGCCUAAAUAGUUUCAAGGGUUCUCUCUCUGUGUUUAUGUUGACUGUUGAAACAUAUUUAUGGGACAUAUUUGAAUUGA
rnacentral:lncRNA from 1 species